AGCGUCUCACUGCCUGUCCCAAGGGGCUGGGAGUGUUGCAUCAGCUGACUGGCGCAGGAGUUGUGACCCACAGUCCCUGUCUGGGACCAAGCCAUCAGUCAGAAUGCAAAGCAGGCUCAGGUUCUGUCACUAAGCAUGAGGUACAGCUCCACAAACUUCAGCUGACUGAAUGGAUCCAGUACAGAGCCUCUUGCCCUUCAGCUGAGGGAGAGAUUCUAGUGCCUUUGGAAGGCAGUCCAACUCACCCUGCCUGAGUGGUGUCUCAUGCAGGAAGGAUCAAUCUUUCUUCAGAGCUACUCACUUCCCCAAGUUUAUUGGAGAGACAGCCUGGACAACUUGUUCAGAAGGGUCCCACCUUUUAGGACUCAUGCUGCAGCCAUAUCAGCAUCGGUGUGUGUGUGGCUUAGAAUGAAAACAAAGGUGAUGGCUAAGGUGUUUUUUUCUAGGCGGUCUGGCUUUCUUUUGCUUUGAAAGAACUGGUAUUGCAGUUAGACACUUGAGUGUGUGGUAAUGCAGUGAGAUAGCCCCACACCCAGUCAACUGAAAGUAGCUGGCAUUCAGCCCAGUGACUGGCAACAUCCCUUAGGUGUGGUGCUAUCUCCCAGUAUCACCCCACCCUGACAUGUCCAGUAUUUCAUUGGCACAGGCAUUAAGGUCCAGUUCUACUACCCUUACAAUGAGUAAGGGUGACAGGAUCUAGGUCUGAGUGAAUUAAUAUUGCCAUAAUUGCAGCAGCAUUUGUAACCUUAUUGUGCCAGUGAAAACUCCAAAUCAGAGCUUUGAGAAUAAGGAACUAAUUGGCUCCGAACAGUUUCAGUCUAAUGACCUUUUACCAGAAGCUCAGCAGUGCAUUAAGGUUUAUACCCAGGGUUGGUUAGAUUAAUUUCCAUUUCAGGUAGUGGGUAUCUAUCCAAUUACUCUCCUCCUCCUCGCUAGGAGUAGAGCGCACACUCCUUCUGCUACUUGAUGUGCUAAGCAGCAUGUGAGUUGGCAACUUGGGCUGAAAAGCAAAUUAGCAUUAUGCAAACUGCAGGAUUCUGGCACUCACAUUAGGAUCACUGAUCUGGCAAGAAAUCCUGCCAAGCUACCAAGCUUUCCUGAGCCCAGAGAGAGCUGCAAACCCUAAUCCAAGAGACCAGCUGACAAUAACAAAACAAAAAGAGAUUGCGGGGGAGGGGGAACAAAGCUUAAUUGUCUGGGAGGGUACUGGUGGGAGCUUGGAGGUGGAUUUCCUAUGGAGAUCUAACUCUUGCAUUGCAGUGAAGAAAUACAGAUAGAAAGGUGCUGAAAUAAGCUAUUCCUGUUGGUUUUGUCUGGUCUAUGAAAGCAGUACAAGGGCCCGUAUCCCACCGGUGGGACUCCAGGAGUCAGAAAGCUCCAUGAGGACCCUUCCACCUCUGUUGGAAUGGUCUUUCUCAAAAGCCUGAGUGAGCCUGGCUGCUGGCACGCCAUCCCACUGCAGCAGGGAGGGGCAGGGCAGCAGUGAAGGAGCUGAAGUGGAGUGCAAAGCUGUGCCCACCAGCUCUGCCCUGCAUGGUCGGGCAGGGCUGGGUUCCCACUGGCAUAGUGUGCAGCUGGCCGGUGGUGUUAAUGAGCCUGGCUGUGCCAUGUGUGCAACUCUUCUGGAAUUCUGUUCAGAAACACCAUGAGAAACUCAGAGCAUGUACUAUUUACGCUGGUUAUUAGAAGCAGAUGCUAAUG